GACGAACGCUGGCGGCGUGCUUAACACAUGCAAGUCGAACGGAAAGGCCCUGCUUUUGUGGGGUGCUCGAGUGGCGAACGGGUGAGUAACACGUGAGUAACCUGCCCUUGACUUUGGGAUAACUUCAGGAAACUGGGGCUAUUACCGGAUAGGAGCUCCUGCUGCAUGGUGGGGGUUGGAACGUUUCGGCGGUUGGGGAUGGACUCGCGGCUUAUCAGCUUGUUGGUGGGGUAGUGGCUUACCAAGGCUGUGACGGGUAGCCGGCCUGAGAGGGUGACCGGCCACAUUGGGACUGAGAUACGGCCCAGACUCCUACGGGAGGCAGCAGUGGGGAAUAUUGCACAAUGGGCGGAAGCCUGAUGCAGCAACGCCGCGUGCGGGAUGACGGCCUUCGGGUUGUAAACCGCUUUCGCCUGUGACGAAGCGUGAGUGACGGUAAUGGGUAAAGAAGCACCGGCUAACUACGUG
rnacentral:rRNA from 1 species